rnacentral:lncRNA from 1 species
CGAAGACCCUCUCACACUUCCAUUAUCACCCUCAGGCUUACCAAAUUCGGCCUGCGAUUCGGCCAAUAGGGUUUUCUCUUUCUUCUUCUCGGACACUUCAUCGCUUUUCGUCUCGUAGGAAGAGUCGAAGGCUCGAGUCGAGAGGUUUCGGUGGGGGUGGGGAUUGGGGAGAGAGUGGGGAUUGUAGAGAGAAAAUCGGCAGGGGGGAGGAGAGAGAGAGGAGGGAGUGAGGGGAAUUGGAGGGAAAGAUUUGAAGAGAGUGACGGCGGAGAUGGUCCGGCGGUGGAUGGAGGUGAAGUGAGGCGUGUGCAGGAGCUUCGACAUUCCCUCUCUGAGCUCUCUCUUUCUCUGAGAGUGGAGAGAGAGAGAGAGACAGGGGGACGAGUGGAUGAACCCGGUACUGGAUUGUCUUCGGGGGCUAACUUAACGUCCACGUAGUCGUGAACUGGUGGUGGUGUGGGGAGCUUCUGAGUGCACCCCUACCUGCACCCCGGUUCUUUCUACACGCACCCAUGAAAUUCUCGCCUCUACCCUCCACUGGC